rnacentral:lncRNA from 1 species
UCUCUUUGUAGAUAAUAUUCUCAUCAUUUGGCUGAAGUUGCAGCUCAUGUUGCAAUGACAUUAGUUCCUUCCUGCAAAAUUGAACUGUGGUGGUAAUAUUGCCAAAGGUAUUUGUAUUCCACUCAUUUAGUGCUGCUUUACAGGCUUUGAGCUUUUGACAUAAGAUGUAAGGGGGGGAUCCAUGCACAUUAACGUUCCAAGCAGAUCUGAUAACAUCAAGAAAUUGAGGAUGAGUACUCCACAUGUUAAAGAAUCUAAACGGUUUCUUGCCUCUUGGUGUCGCUUUGUCUGCGUGUAGAUACAUUAAAGAAUGGUCAGAAAACAAAGGAGCAACAUACUCAAGAAGUGAAUCUGGG